rnacentral:misc_RNA from 1 species
UCCGAGUUGACCCCGGCAGUCUCCCACGAGUCCCCGCCAUUACGCGCUGGCAACAUAGGACAAGGGUUGCGCUCGUUGCGGGACUUAACCCAACAUCUCACGACACGAGCUGACGACAGCCAUGCACCACCUGUACACAGACCACAAGGGAACCGACAUCUCUGCCGGAAUCCUGCGCAUGUCAGACCCAGGUAAGGUUCUUCGCGUUGCAUCGAAUUAAUCCACAUGCUCCGCCGCUUGUGCGGGCCCCCGUCAAUCCCUUUGAGUUUUAGCCUUGCGGCCGUACUCCCCAGGCGGGGCGCUUAAUGCGUUAGCUACGGCACGGAGUACGUGAACAGCACCCCACACCUAGCGCCCAACGUUUACAGCGUGGACUAC